rnacentral:rRNA from 1 species
AUUGAACGCUGGCGGAAUGCUUUACACAUGCAAGUCGAACGGCAGCGCGGACUUCGGUCUGGUGGCGAGUGGCGAACGGGUGAGUAAUGUAUCGGAACGUGCCCAGUCGUGGGGGAUAACGUAGUGAAAAUUACGCUAAUACCGCAUACGAUCUAUGGAUGAAAGCGGGGGAUCGCAAGACCUCGCGCGAUUGGAGCGGCCGAUAUCAGAUUAGGUAGUUGGUGGGGUAAAGGCCCACCAAGCCAACGAUCUGUAGCUGGUCUGCGAGGACGACCAGCCACACGGGAACUGAGACACGGUCCAGACUCCUACGGGAGGCAGCAGUGGGGAAUUUUGGACAAUGGGCGAAAGCCUGAUCCAGCCAUUCCGCGUGCAGGAUGAAGGCCCUCGGGUUGUAAACUGCUUUUGUACAGAACGAAAAGGCUCUGGUUAAUACCUGGGGCUCAUGACGGUACCGUAAGAAUAAGCACCGGCUAACUACGUGCCAGCCGCCGCAGUAA